AUGCAUGCCUAGCACCAGGUGUGUGGGGGUAUAAACAGCAGCACUCAGAAGCCUCUUCACCUGGUCCAAAAUGCUGUCUACCAUCAAACUCUGUUAGCUUCCUUUGGAUCGAGAGUGGUAACAACUCCUCUGAAGGCCUGCUGCCUGCUACAGAUACAGAAAUCUAGAUGGGAUUUCAAAGAUAAGAGAUGGACAGAGUGUCUUGUCAGGGCUUGAAAAAUACAUUCAUCUGGUGACUAAGUGACAAAUCUACAAGGC